AAAUUUUUUGUUUAUUCCUUUUCAGUACUGCCUGCCAAUUACAUCGACAACUGAAUUCUACAAACGAGCUGUUUAGAGAAAAGUACAAACUGUUUUUACAUUUUAUGGCCUACAGUUUACAUGAUUAUUGUCUUUUAACAAUUUACACCCAACCAACUCCAACAUUUCACCUAUAAAUAGUGUACCUUUCCAACUAAAGCAGGAGAUCCUUGGAAUUCAACAACUGUAUAACAUCUCUGUCAUGGAAGUAAGUUGCUCCAUGCUCUUGUUACUUUGUGUAAAUAAUUCUUACCUGUAUUGAUCUUGCUAACUCACUUCUGUCCUGAUUUUGUUGUCUUCGCCAGAAAGCUUAUUUUCUCCUCUGCCCAAAGUAGCAACGUAACUGCUUCUUCCUGGAAAUAUGAUGUAGAAGGUACAAUGGUCAUUAAUUGCUCCAGCAAACUUAGGCGUAGAAGAAUGUUUAAGAUUCAAAAGAAAGAGGAAGGAAAAAGAUAUAGUUUAUUGCAAAAAUUCAUCAUGUUUAAAAGUCAACAAAGCAUUAGGAAAUGAG
rnacentral:lncRNA from 1 species